rnacentral:rRNA from 1 species
AUUUUUUAAUUAUUUUUAAGCAGACUUUUUUUGUUGUACCUUUUGUAUCAGGGUUUAUCUAUUAUAUAUUAAUUAUUAUUAAUUUUCCCGAAAUUAAAAGAGAUAUAUUUAAAUGGAAGUUUACGUGUCAAAGUAAUUUUUAAUUUAAAUAUAGAGGUUAUAUGCUAUUCAAUUUUAAAUAUCUGGUUACCUAAUAAAUUAAUUUAAUUAAGGUUAUUAAAUAAAUGUUGAUGUAUAAUUUUAUUUUACUCAAUUUUAAUAACUAAAAUUAUAGGGGAUAAGCUCUAUUAUUUGUUUUAUAAUUCUUUUAUUUGUGAAAGUUUAGUAGGCUUGACAACAGCCAUCAUUUAUUUCGUUACAGUUAAUCUUUCUUUUUAUUUUAUUUAUUAUGAAUUUAAAUUUUUAUUAGGUUUUUAUAUUUAAUUUUUUAUUUUAAGUAAUA